rnacentral:piRNA from 1 species
ACGGCCCUGGCGGAGCGCU